AACGAACGCUGGCGGCAGGCCUAACACAUGCAAGUCGAGCGCGCCCUUCGGGGUGAGCGGCGGACGGGUGAGUAACGCGUGGGAACGUGCCCUUCUCUGCGGAAUAGCCUCGGGAAACUGAGAGUAAUACCGCAUACGCCCUUUGGGGGAAAGAUUUAUCGGAGAAGGAUCGGCCCGCGUUGGAUUAGGUAGUUGGUGGGGUAAUGGCCCACCAAGCCGACGAUCCAUAGCUGGUUUGAGAGGAUGAUCAGCCACACUGGGACUGAGACACGGCCCAGACUCCUACGGGAGGCAGCAGUGGGGAAUCUUAAACAAUGGGGGCAACCCUGAUCUAGCCAUGCCGCGUGAGUGAUGAAGGCCUUAGGGUUGUAAAGCUCUUUCAGCUGGGAAGAUAAUGACGGUACCAGCAGAAGAAGCCCCGGCUAACUCCGUG
rnacentral:rRNA from 1 species